rfam:Gossypium raimondii Chr11_contig_1376, whole genome shotgun sequence.
CACGUAAGCACGAUAUGCUUACGUGGAAGGAAAUUGCAUCCUUGAGAGAGCGAUUUCCUUCCCCGUAAGCAUAUCACGCUUACGUGG